AACGGACCGACGACGGAGCGCCGCGAGGGCCAAGCCGCCUCCAGCGCGAUACCGAACGCGCGGAGAGAAAAGAGGCUGCGUUUUUUCCUCUGGCGCCCUCUCGUGGGGGACGGGAGAUCAAUCGGAAACGUCCCUAGUCCCGGAAACAGGGAAGGAUGAAGGUAAAGGAAUCCUCGCUAGUCCGCAAAAUUCAGAACGGUGGUUGCCUGCGGGGGAUGAAGAAUUGCCCUUGUGAGAGGAAAUGAAGGGUUCAAUGGAGAGCAGAGCACCUGGUGCAUCUCAGCUUACAGCGAGGAUGCCCCUCUGACCAUUCUUCACUAGUCACAUGUGCUUGGACUGCAGCUGGGGAAGCUUCUCCACUUCUAAGGAUUCAUGUACCCACCUGGAUAAUUCAGGAUAACCUCGCCAUCUCAAGGUUUCUAACCUUAAUCACAUCUGCUAAGCCCCUUCUUCCACAU